GAAAUUAUGGACAAAGACAAGCAUUAAAAGUUCGUUAGCAUCUUCAGACGUGUUUCGUCUCAAAAAAAAAAUUUUUUUGUUCCUGUCGAAUGUCGAAUAUACAGAUAUCAACUAUACAGAUAUCAUAUCAAUAUACAGAUAUAUCAACUAUAAUUUUUAAACUACUCAUAAACCCGCUGAUGGCCGAAAGUCGUACUUGCGAUUGGGUCAAAAUAGAUUAAAGAAGGAGAAGACAAAGCAUUAGAAUCAUGUAUAAUAUGUUAUAUUUUAUUUCAAUGUGUAUUUAAAUCAUGUGCAAUGACGCGCUGUUAGAGAAUAACUGAGUAAAAAUGCCAAAAGGCAGAAACGAAACCAAUCAAAGAUAUCAAGAAUGGAAAAGAAGAUGAGCUGUCAGAGGAAGAUAAACUUUUACAGGAGGAAUUAACUCUGCUCAUGGAGCGCUUGCAGGAUGCCAAUACCAAACUGCACCUUCCUGCCCUGGAAUCCUUGCAUUCGCACAUUCGUGCAUUGACAACAUCAAUGAGAAGUGUUCCAAAGCCACUGAAAUUUAUGUAGCCUCACUAUGAUACUAUGAAGAACAUUUAUGAAAUGAUGACUAAUGUCAAAUUUUUGAAAACCGAACAUCUACUGCUGAACAUCAAUUUACUGCCAUUGCCAUUGUAUAUGUAUUGCCGAUAUAAUAACCACGAAAUAAUAUUUGUGUAAAAUUUAAUGUUCAAAUAAAAAGAUUUGUUCUCU